CGCGCCUCCGACACCCUGUAACAGACCACCUGAUGCAGGCAGCUGAUUUGCAUUAUGGGUUGAGCCCAAAGGAGGUCCGGAAGUUUGCCUAUGAUUUGGCAAAGACCUACAAUUGCAGGUGCCCCGAAACCAGGGCAGAGAACGGGAUGGCUGGAGCCAACUGGUUCACAACAUUUUUGAAGUGGCACCCCACUCUGCCCACAAGAAGCCCCCAGGCUACAAGCCUCUAACGGACAACGAGUUUCAAUGAGACAUACGUCAGUAAGUUUUUUGACAACUUGUUUUCUGUACUGGAGAAACACAGAAUUGCUGCACAGGACAUCUGGAACAUGGAUGAAACAGGUGUGGUGGAAAUUAUCUAUAACUCCCUCAGAAACACCCUCCAGAGGCUCACACCCUUACAAAAAUAAAAGCAUUACAGAAUAAAAGCACUAAAUAAAAUAAUCUUUUUCUAUACAGGAGUCACCACAGUGCAAAAUCCUGAGAAAAUUGUGGCCAGAAAGGGAGUGAAGCAAGUAGAUGCAGUCACCUCUGCAGAACGGGGGACAUAUAUUACACUUGCCUGUGCAGUGAAUGCCUUAGGGAAUUCCAUCCCACCAAUGUUCAUCUUCCCCUGGAAAAAAAAAUCCAUCAUUCUUUUACCAGCAAUGGUCCUAAUGGCUGUAUUGUUACCACAAAUGGGUCUGGGUUGAUGCGAGUGGAGGACUUUUUGGUCUUCCUCAAGCACUUCCAGACUGAUCGAGUCUUUUACCUCAACAGAUUUUAAAUGUCAACACACCUAGAUCAUUGAUACUUAAAAAGAAAAACUUGAAGCCAGUAACACCCUGUGUGUUAAGUCAACAACAGCUUGUACCUCGACCUCUGAGGAGAUGACCCAUGGUGCUGAAGUCAAGAUCCACUCCUGAUUUGUUUGCCUCUUUAUCUGAACAGAUCAGUUCCUGCUCAUACUUGGUCUACGAGCAGCUGUGGUGAUUCUUAUAUUUAGUGGGAUCACCGUCUAUUUUGCUUGUAAGAAGAAGAAAUACAAGAAAGCUGAAGGCUCUGCCGUCCCUAAAGAGACGGACUAUGAGAACUGUGUUGUGAUGGUUGAAAUGAGAAGUUCUGCAUCUGAACUUUAAAUUUCUGAACCAACACCUCAGUGUCGCCUCUCAGCUUCUGUGAUUGGACACGAGUCUUCAUGGAUGUAAAAAUAGAUUAAAAAUAGUCAAAAUUAUAAACUCUUCUUAUUACUCUCAAAUUUACUUCUUAGGAGCUCACAAACACCCUGCCAUAAUAAGCCUCUGAAUGUUUUCUUCAUUUGUGUCACUGUGGAAGCUCUGAUUGAACAAAGGUUAUGCGCUGUGACACAAGUUCUAUGAUCACAAAUGGAGGUGUCUGACUUUUCUGUUUCAUAUAUGUUUGAUAGUUUCUUAGAAGAGAGAAGAUAAAAUGUUUUGAUUUUUUGGUGUGUCUAUUCUAAAAAUGUUGAGUUGUCAUUUAAAAGACCAAAUUGUCAUUUUAUGAGCAUAUUCACACAAAUGUGAAGUGUUUGAGUAUGAAAAUAUUUAAUUAUUUGAAUAAUGUUUUUUUGUAAAUUGUUUUAAUCAAGUUUUAAUUUUAUUGCUUUAUUGUUCUGUAUUCAAAACCUGUCAGUCAGUCAUGUGACAUCAGUCAGUUCAUGAAAGCUUCCUGUAUGUUGACAUUCUGAUCAUGAACUGUUCCUUUAAUGACAGCUGACACCAGGUUCAUCAUCAGUAUCAGGUGUGAGGUUUCCAUCUACUGGUUCACAGAGGUUACUGCUGUUGCUUUUGUUGACUGAACAAGUGCAGCAUCUACACACAUUACAGGGUGGCUGGCAUGCACCUUUAAUAUUGUGAGCAGCCAAUAAACACAGAGAGGAAGAACAAACACACUGUUGUCGUGCUCAUAACACCACUGCUGCACCUGUGUAGAGCCACGCAAUGUAGACAGGAGCCAGACAUGUUGUCACUGGUGUGGAUUUCUUUUUACAAGAAGACCAUAACACGAGGAAAAAAAAGUCUUAUCACAGCUAUGGAAUAUCAAAUAAACCAUUAA